AUGGCCUGGACCCUUGUCCUGCUCCCCCUCCUCUCUCUCUGCACAGGCCCAGUGGUCUCCUACGAGCUGACCCAGCCACCCUCCGUGUCAGUGGCCCCGGGAGAGACGGUCAAGAUUACGUGCUCCGGAGAUUUACUAGGGAAAAAAUACGCAUCUUGGUUCCAACAGAAGCCGGGCCAGGCCCCCGAGCUGAUCAUUUAUAAGUAUAGUGAGCGGCCCUCAGGGAUCCCUGACCGGUUCUCAGGCUCCAACUCGGGGAACACGGUCACCCUGACCAUCAGCGGGGCCAGGGCUGAGGACGAGGCCGACUAUCACUGUCAGUCAUGGGACAGCGAUGGCAUUCCGUACAGUGACACAAGCAGAUGGGGAAGUGGGACAAAAAUCCCGUCCCCAUCUCAGCAUUUCCUGGAGGCCCCUCGAGGUGCUACGCAGCUGCCAAAGAACCCAACUGAUGACCUGGAAAUCCCCCUUACGGUGCCUGAUAACACAUCACUCCUGCCCCCAAAGCUCUGA